rnacentral:rRNA from 1 species
AUUGAACGCUGGCGGCAUGCUUUACACAUGCAAGUCGAACGGCAGCACGGGGGCAACCCUGGUGGCGAGUGGCGGACGGGUGAGUAAUACAUCGGAACGUGCCCAGUCGUGGGUGAUGACGUAGCGAAAGUUACGCUAAUACCGCAUACGAUCUACGGAUGAAAGCGGUGGACCUGAAGGCCCUGCGAUUGGAGCGGCCGAUAUCAGAUUAGGUAGUUUGUGGAGUAAAGGCCCACCAAGCCAACGAGCUGUAGCUGGUCUGAGAGGACGACCAGCCACACUGCAACUGGGACACUGUCCAGACUCCUACGGGAGCCAACAGCGGGGAAUUUUGGACAAUGGCCGAAAGCCUCAUCCAGCCAUUCCGCGUGCAGGAUGAAGGCCCUCGGGUUGUAAACUGCUUUUGUACAGAACGAAAAGGUUUCUACUAAUACUAGGAGCUCAUGACGGUACUGUAAGAAUAAGCACCGGCUAACUACGUGCCAGCAGCCGCCGUAA